UACAGAGGGUGCGAGCGUUGUCCGGAAUCACUGGGCGUAAAGGGCGCGUAGGCGGCUUGAUAAGCGUGCGGUGAAAGCCCGGGGCUCAACCCCGGGUCGGCCGUGCGAACUGUCGAGCUGGAGCACUGUAGAGGCAGGUGGGAUUCCGGGUGUAGCGGUGGAAUGCGUAGAGAUCCGGAAGAACACCGGUGGCGAAGGCGGCCUGCUGGGCAGUGGCCGACGCUGAGGCGCGACAGCGUGGGGAGCAAACAGG
rnacentral:rRNA from 1 species